GUUUUUUGAAUUGCAUCUCUAAUGACCUAUCAGAUCAGAAGACUGGUAAACCUGGAGCCUCAUCCCAAGAGGUGAUGGUGUCUGGGUUUAUUAUGGAUCGCAGGAUGUAACUAUCAAUCUGGAGCUUUAGGGGGAAGAAGAAAGAAUAUUUUGAACCACACCAGGAGAAUUACCCUAGAGAAUAUAAGUUCACCUGCCAAAAUGGGAGGCUGGCAUCUUUUUGCUCUAUGAGAAGGCUGCUGAGCUAACAGGUCUGCCUUGGCAUAAAUGUCUAGAAGAGCAUGUGUCUCCUGGAGUAUGGGGACAUUUGUGUUUCCAUAAAUUGGCAGCUGCUUCUGGUUAGAGACUUCUAAAAGGUCUGGAAUACUGGAAUACUGGUAUAGUCCAAAAGGGGAAGAUGAAAAGGAGCCGUGGAACAUUGUACCAGGAAGAAGAUGGGACAUUACUCUCCGCAUGCCCUGGAGCUUUCGGAAGACGUAUAAGAGGAUCUUAGUUUCCAUAGCUCCACAUGAAAGAGCAAGCAGGGCUGCUGAUGUCCACUGUGGGCUCCAAGUGAGGGACUGGCCCAUGGGCAGGAGGUGAGGGAGACUUACUUGCUUUUCUCUGAGCUGGUCCACAGGAGCAGAGGAGACUGGGGUGAGCCUCACUCCAGAAUACUUGUAGAGUAUGUGACACCGGUUACCAACCUUGGCUCCACAAAAAUUACCUGUGAACCUUCUAAAAUACACAUAAGAAAUUCUUACUGAAUUGAACUGGGACGAGAUUCCACGUAUCAGGAUUCUGUAAAAGCUCCCCCAGUGACUCAAGAUGAAGUCCGGGUUGAAGACCAGUGAUAUGCAGGAAAUGUGUCCUGUGAUUUGAAACCACAUUCCAUUUGUCAAGCAAGACACUACGGCCACAUAAUGGAGAUCUACUUCCAUAUGAACCAGUGGAUUUCACUCUGCUUAAUGGAAGUGCCUUAGACUACUUCUCAAACCUCAGUCCACGUCAGAAUCACCAAAGGGCCUGAUGCAUCCCAGAUUCCAG
rnacentral:lncRNA from 1 species